CCCUCGACCUUAGUUGCCAGCAUUCAGUUGGGCACUCUAAGGUGGACUGCCGGCUAAAAGUCGGAGGAAGGUGGGGAGUGACGUCAAAUCAUCAUGCCCUUAUGACCUGGGCUACACACGUGCUACAAUGGGCGGUACAAAGGGUCGCGAACCCGCAGGGGGAGCCAAUCCCAAAAAGCCGCUCUCAGUUCGGAUUGCAGGCUGCAACUCGCCUGCAUGAAGCCGGAAUCGCUAGUAAUCGCGGAUCAGCAUGCCGCGGUGAAUACGUUCCCGGGCCUU
rnacentral:rRNA from 1 species